UUGAGCGCAGUGCGGUGAAAGUCGCAUGCUGCGUUCUUAGGAGAGCGGCGAUUGGCAACAGUCGCUGUUUAUCCGAC
rnacentral:ncRNA from 1 species